GUCUAUGGCCACACCACCCUGAAUGCGCCCGAUCUCAUCUGAUCUCGGAAGCUAAGCAGGAUCAGGCCUGGGUAAGUACUUGGAUGGGAGAAAAUUGAAAUGUUUGAAACU
rnacentral:rRNA from 1 species